UACGUAGGUGGCAAGCGUUGUCCGGAUUUAUUGGGUUUAAAGGGUGCGUAGGUGGCCCCGUAAGUCAGUGGUGAAAUAUCUCAGCUUAACUGAGAGGGUGCCAUUGAUACUGCGGGGCUUGAGUACAGAUGAGGUAGGCGGAAUUGACGGUGUAGCGGUGAAAUGCAUAGAUAUCGUCGAGAACACCGAUAGCGAAGGCAGCUUACCAAGCUGUAACUGACACUGAGGCACGAAAGUGUGGGGAUCAAACAGG
rnacentral:rRNA from 1 species